rnacentral:rRNA from 1 species
AUUGAACGCUGGCGGCAUGCCUUACACAUGCAAGUCGAACGGUAACAGCUCUUCGGAGGCUGACGAGUGGCGAACGGGUGAGUAAUACAUCGGAACGUGCCCGAUCGUGGGGGAUAACGGAGCGAAAGCUUUGCUAAUACCGCAUACGAUCUACGGAUGAAAGCAGGGGACCCUCGGGCCUUGCGCGAACGGAGCGGCCGAUGGCAGAUUAGGUAGUUGGUGGGAUAAAAGCUUACCGAGCCGACGAUCUGUAGCUGGUCUGAGAGGACGACCAGCCACACUGGACUGAGACACGGCCCAGACUCCUACGGGAGGCAGGAGUGGGGAAUUUUGGACAAUGGGCGAAAGCCUGAGCCAGCAAUGCCGCGUGAAGGAUGAAGGCCUUCGGGUUGUAAAGCUCUGUCAGGAGGGACGAAGCCACUCAGGUGAAUAGCCGAGAGGGUGACGGUACCUCCAGAGGAAGCCCCGGCUAACUACGUGCCAGCCGCCGCCGUAAUAC